UACGGGGGGAGCAAGCGUUGUUCGGAUUUCCUGGGCGUAAAGGGCGCGUAGGCGGCCUCCGCAAGUCAGUUGUGAAAUCUCCGAGCUUAACUCGGAAAGGUCAACUGAUACUGCGGGGCUAGAGUGCGGAAGGGGCAACUGGAAUUCUUGGUGUAGCGGUGAAAUGCGUAGAUAUCAAGAGGAACACCUGCGGCGAAGGCGGGUUGCUGGGCCGACACUGACGCUGAGGCGCGAAAGCUAGGGGAGCGAACGGG
rnacentral:rRNA from 1 species